UGAUGCUGAAUGCAGUGUGUCUCAGCAUGCAGGACCAGGAUGUGGGUUCUCCAAUAAACACCAAAGCACACAGAAAACACAGAGUCAAGGAUAACAGGAUGAAGAAACUGAGCUCUGAGUUAUUGAUGCGUACUAUAGGGUACACAGUCAAAGCAGCAUAAAGGCUGGCCAUGACGUACAGCUUUCCUGAAUCCUGGAGCGCAGCUGUUACUGCACACAGACACCAGCACCUGCUUAAGCCACAGAUUCACACAUACUUAAAGAACUUCAGAACAUGGUAUCUCAUGUACUGAAAUACACUGUGAGAACAGCUUGCCUCAGUCUGAUGGCCAGGCCACAUGAUAGCCUCCUCCUGGAUGACCAGUUCCUGGCCGGAUUCUUGCGCACCAUCGAACAUGCCCACAUUAAUAAACUCAAUAUUUCCAGCCGAGCCCCUCUGCCAGUUUAUGAGGUCAUAUGAUGGAAUUGAAUCACCUUUCAUGUCAAAGUUUACUGUCUCUCCUGAAAUAGUGAAUGACACCUCUUGGAGAUAAUGCUGUAACUGAAAUAUUACAUUGAUGAGAUAAAGUCGUGACUCCAUGUUUACAGUACUCAUCAGGGGUUCUCAAACAUUUUGGGGUCAGGGACUCUUUACAGGGGAGAAAAAAUCCCAAGGACCCCAAUAUAAUUCUAACAGUUAUUAAUCAUAUGCUUACCACAGUUUGUACUCUUAUAUGGUAUUUAACCAUUUGUAGUGUACAGAUUUCAAACUUAAAAUACCUCAGACCUGCUUCAUUGUAAACAAAAGCACAUUUCAACUUGAAUCAAAUUUAUACGACUUCAGUGCUUUUAAACAGAGGGUCAUUUUGUGUAAAAUGCACUUUUGGAUUGAACAAUAUUAAUACUUUACAAGUUAUCUUGUAAAAUCAACAGUAGACAGCCAUAUUUUUAAAAAAAAACAAUUCGUAAAAAUGUCUAGUUUAAGAUUAUUUAAGUGCUACAACGUCUGCCAGGCCCACCUUAAUUAAACCAACUAAAUAUUUUAAUCACUGUAUUUUCUCAAUUUAGAUAUUUUAGGCCUCGCUUUACUUGAGUUGUAAUGCGCUCUGAAUAAACCUUUUAAAAGUAAAGCGAGUGGUUUAUGACAAUUUUUGUGAUACUGUAUGUCACAAUCAUUAAAUGUAUGCUUUUUUAAUAUUACAACACAUUUCAUAAUGUAUAGCAAAUUAUUUCACAGACCCCCUGGGUAUGGAUUGUGAACCAUGAGGGGUCCCGGACCCCACUUUGAGAACCCCUACUGCAGAGAAAACAUUUGACAUCAAUCAUAUAAACAGUCGUUUUUUAAGAGUACCUGCCAUGGAUAGACAUUAUCUAUGUCCGCACAUGUGAAGUUAUUAAAAGGCCCUUUCCCAGGAGUACAGUGAAUGAGAUUGUGCAUUGAAUGUGCAAUGGCAUACACUCCCUUAUAAACAUUAUAGGAAAUGCGAGGGCUGGAAGUAUUCAUAUAGGCAGAGUGCUGUUCCC